CUCGUAGGCGGUUCGACAAGUCGGGUGUGAAACCUCCAGGCUCAACCUGGAGUCGCCACUCGAAACUGUUGUGACUAGAGUCCGGUAGGGGAGCAUGGAAUUCCUGGUGUAGCGGUGGAAUGCGCAGAUAUCAGGAGGAACACCAGCGGCGAAGGCGAUGCUCUGGGCCGGUACUGACGCUGAGGAGCGAAAGCAUGGGGAGCGAACA
rnacentral:rRNA from 1 species